AUUGAACGCUGGCGGCAGGCCUAACACAUGCAAGUCGAGCGGAGCGGCUGACGGGUGAGUAAUGCCUAGGAAUCUGCCUGGUAGUGGGGGAUAACGUCCGGAAACGGGCGCUAAUACCGCAUACUAUCAGAUGAGCCUAUGUCGGCUGAGCUGGUUGGUGGGGUAAAGGCCUACCAAGGCGACGAUCCGUAACUGGUCUGAGAGGAUGAUCAGUCACACUGGAACUGAGCCACGGCCCAGACGCCUACGGGAGGCAGCAGUGGGGAAUAUUGCGCAAUGGGCGCAAGCCUUAUGCAGCCAUGCCGCGUGUAUGAAGAAGGCCUUAGGGUUGUAAAGUACUUUCAGCGGGGAGGCGGUACCCGCAGAAGAAGCACCGGCUAACUCCGUGCCAGCAGCCGCGGUAAUUC
rnacentral:rRNA from 1 species